GACGCCGCGGUAACACCGGCAGCUCUAGUGGUAACAAUUUUAUUGGGCCUAAAGCGUCCGUAGCCGGUUUAAUAAGUCUCUGGUGAAAUCCUGCAGCUUAACUGUGGGAAUUGCUGGAGAUAUAUUAGACUUGAGACCGGGAGAGGUUAGAGGUACUCCCAGGGUAGAGGUGAAAUUCUGUAAUCCUGGGAGGACCGCCUGUUGCGAAGGCGUCUAACUGGAACGGUUCUGACGGUGAGGGACGAAAGUUAGGGGCGCGAACCGGAUUAGAUACCCGGGUAGUCCUAACUGUAAACGAUGCGGACUUGGUGUUGGGUGGCUUUGAGCUGCUUCAGUGCCGAAGGGAAGCUGUUAAGUCCGCCGCCUGGGAAGUACGGUCGCAAGACUGAAACUUAAGGAAUUGGCGGGGGAGCACCACAACGCGUGGAGCCUGCCGGUUUAAUUGGAUUCAACGCCGGACAUCUCACCAGAGGCGACAGCUGUAUGAUAGCCAGGUUGAUGACUUUGCUUGACUAGCUGAGGAGUGGUGCAUGG
rnacentral:rRNA from 1 species